rnacentral:rRNA from 1 species
CCUACGGGAGACAGCAGUGGGGAAUAUUGGUCAAUGGGGGAAACCCUGAACCAGCGACGCCGCGUGAGUGAUGAAGUCUUUCUGUAUGUAAAGCUCUAUUAGUAGGGAAGAAAAUGACGGUACCUGACUAAUAAGCCCCGGCUAACUACGUGCCAGCAGCCGCGGUAAUACGGAGGGGGCAAGCGUUAUCCGGAUUUACUGGGUGUAAAGGGAGCGUAGACGGGAUUGCAAGUCUGAUGUGAAAGAUUGGGGCUCAACCCCAGGACUGCAUUGGAAACUGUAAAGCUGGAGUACAGGAGAGGUAGGCGGAAUUCCUGGUGUAGCGGUGAAAUGCGUAGAUAUUAGGAGGAACACCAGUGGCGAAGGCGGCUUACUAGACUGUAACUGACGUUGAGGCUCGAAAGCGUGGGGAGCAAACAGGAUUAGAUACCCGAGUAGUC